GGUACUGCUGGGGGCGCGCGGGGGCUGGAGCGCACUGGGCUGGGAUCUGCAGGUGUCGGGGAGGGCGCUUGCCUGUUGGCGCGGGGCAGUGGGCUGCUGGGCAGGACUGUCUGGUGCGCGGGGCUGCUACGUCGUCGCCGAUGUGGGUGCUGCGACAGUGGGGAGCGGACGAGUCCGAUCUAGGUGCUGCGACGGUGGACUAAUUCGAUGAUACGGGCUGGUGUCCGGAUCGAUCUGGAAAUGCAGCAGGCGUGGACGUCCGGUGGUUUGCAAGAAUCGAUCGGUGCUGGGGCUGGGUUGCAGCGUUGGGAUCGGGCUGCGAUCGGUGCUGGGUUGCAGGGAUCUGCAGGUGGGAGGCAGCAGCGAUCGGUGCUGGGUUGCAGGGAUCGAUCGGUGCGGCUAUGCGGGGAUGGGGCCGGUCUUGGCCGGUGAGGUGAGGCUGGGGAAGAAGGGA
rnacentral:lncRNA from 1 species